UACAGGGGGGGCAAGCGUUGUUCGGAAUUACUGGGCGUAAAGGGCUCGUAGGUGGCCAACUAAGUCAGACGUGAAAUCCCUCAGCUUAACUGGGGAACUGCGUCUGAUACUGGAUGGCUUGAGUGUGGGAGAGGGAUGCGGAAUUCCAGGUGUAGCGGUGAAAUGCGUAGAUAUCUGGAGGAACACCGGUGGCGAAGGCGGCAUCCUGGACCAACACUGACACUGAGGAGCGAAAGCCAGGGGAGCAAACGGG
rnacentral:rRNA from 1 species